rnacentral:rRNA from 1 species
GAUUAACGCUGGCGGCGUGCAUAACACAUGCAAGUCGAACGAUGAAACUUAAAUGAUUUCUUCGGAAUGAACUUAAGUGGAUUAGUGGCGGACGGGUGAGUAACGCGUGAGUAACCUGCCUUACACAAGGGGAUAGCCGUUGGAAACGACGAAUAAUACCCUAUGAAACUAUCACUUCGCAUGAAGCGAUAGUCAAAGUGUUAGCGGUGUAAGAUGGACUUGCGUCUGAUUAGCUAGUUGGUGAGAAAAAAGCCCACCAAGGCAACGAUCAGUCGCCGGCUUGGGAGAGUGUACGGCCACAUUGGGACUGAGACACGGCCCAGACUCCUACGGGAGGCAGCAGUGGGGAAUGUUGCACAAUGGGGGAAACCCGGAUGCAGCGACGCCGCGAGAUUUAGAAGGCCUUCGGGUUGUAAAAAUCUUUUGUAUAGGAAGAAAAUGACAGUACUAUACGAAUAAGGUCCGGCUAAUUACGUG